rnacentral:rRNA from 1 species
AAACGACUCUCGGCAACGGAUAUCCCGGCUCUCGCAUCGAUGAAGAACGUAGCGAAAUGCGAUACUUGGUGUGAAUUGCAGAAUCCCGUGAACCAUCGAGUCUUUGAACGCAAGUUGCGCCCGAAGCCUCUAGGCCGAGGGCACGUCUGCCUGGGUGUCACAC